GUAUUGAUAGCUAAGUAAGGUUCAAAGCAGCCGCUUGCUAAGCGGCGGGGGCAUAUUAAGCCCCCCCACAGGUUCAAAUCCUGUUCAAUACA
rnacentral:tRNA from 1 species